rnacentral:rRNA from 1 species
UACGUAGGUGGCAAGCGUUGUCCGGAUUUACUGGGCGUAAAGAGCGCGCAGGCGGCUGGUCAAGUCCGAUGUGAAAUCUCCCGGCUCAACUGGGAAACUGCAUCGGAAACUGAUCGGCUUGAAGGUGGGAGAGGGUAGUGGAAUUCCCGGUGUAGUGGUGAAAUGCGUAGAUAUCGGGAGGAACACCAGUGGCGAAGGCGACUUCCUGGCCUGUUCUUGACGCUGAGGCGCGAAAGCUAGGGUAGCAAACGGG